GACAGAGGGUGCAAACGUUUGUUCGGAAUUACUGGGCGUAAAGCGCGUGUAGGCGGCUAAGUAAGUCGGGCGUGAAAUCCCACGGCUCAACCGUGGAAGUGCACUCGAAACUGCAUAGCUAGAGUCCUGGAGAGGAAGGUGGAAUGCUUGGUGUAGAGGUGAAAUUCGUAGAUAUCAAGCGGAACACCGGUGGCGAAGGCGGCCUUCUGGACAGUGACUGACGCUGAGACGCGAAAGCGUGGGGAGCAAACAGGG
rnacentral:rRNA from 1 species